CGGAACGCACCAGUCAUAAAAUCUAUUAUUUGGUAACGAAGUUGGACUGUCUGCAAGCUGAGCUCCACACUGAGGCCGGCCACAGUAAACAGACUUGCAGACAAUUACACCCCGAGCAGAACUGUACUAUUGUGCGGCAUCAGCAGCCUGGAAGGCAUUACAGCAGGGAGGCAGGCAGACCCCGGACGAUCUCCAGGAGCAGGAUUAGCAGCAUUAACCAGACAAAUUAGGGCCUCUGCGCCCUCACAAAGCCAAGAGAGAAACUCUCUUCCCGACUUUCAUAAACAAAUCUUCUCAAGUUGUUAAUCUAACUGCUGUCCCACUUCUGAGGCCACCCGGGCUCAGCACACCCUGAUCCCCCCUCCCUAUUGGUUACCCAGAUCAGCACGGCGGAGUCAAGGUCAUGCUCACCUAUUUCAAGUGAUGGAAAAACAAAUAAGUCAGCAUAAGUGUAUUGAGCAAAAAUGGGUGUGAAAAUAAACGACAACAACAGACAUUA